CUCCGCGCGGAGCCAGGCCCUGGCCCUAGGGACGCCCGCGCCCCGGCGGCCCCUGCCGGUGCUGCGGGGCCACCAGCCCCGCGCUUCCCGCCUCCUUCUCCUGCUGCCUUUGUUCCCCCCAGCCCUGGAGUUGGGACCGUGCAGGUUCCCACGUGCGGCCGGGAACAUCCCCACCACGAUCCACCUCCCCCUUCCACACCACGGAGACGCCGGCCUGGGGCUGGGGGUGUGGAAGGGCAUCUCCCCUCCCGCAGCCCCUGAAGGAGACACUUGUUCAGGGGGGAUCAGCUGCUGGCAUAACUCGAAGGGGCGGAGACGGUUCACUAGGCCUGACACCGCAGUUGUGCAGAUUGUAGUGCACUGAAUCUCCUGCUAAACUCUUUCUCCGUCGUAGCUGAGAUCAGUAUAAUCUAACCCCGCUCGAUUCAUAGAGCAAGCCGUGUAUGGAAUGAAAGAGAACAGAAUAUUGGAGAAAUGGAACAUAUCUGGUUUGGUUUAAUAACGACGGGGGGAGGGGGAAGCAGGAGAAAAAAGCCUGAAGCUUCAUUCAUAACAUAAAGACAAAAAUCAUUCCCAGUUGUUUUGCCUGAUCUUGAGCCGUGCUGCUGCUGGAUAUAAAUGAGGAAACUUUCAUUUGUGUAGGUUUUUAAAGGUCUGGAAAAUCAGAUAGAAAACUGGAUUAGAACGUGUGCUGGUAGUCAGAACAUGCAGUGCCUAAAUUAAACAUCAGCAAUGUCCUGUCAAGAAUGGGAGCAUUCAAGGGCAGAAGAUAAGAAAAUUUUCAAUCGUUUUUGUAAUGCAGUUCAUAUGUAGCGAUAACAGAUGUGAAGGGCAGUAGCCCAGUGGUAUCAGAAUGUAAUGAUUAAAUUGCAAUAUAUUUCUUAUUGAAUAGGAAAAGCCUCAGAGACAAUAAAUGUUGCAAAUGCAGCAACAACAGUUUCAUGUGAAGAAUGUGAAUAUUCAUGGUCUGAAGAUUGGAAAAAUACUGCAGUAUAAUGUUACACCGUUUAUAUUUUCAUCUUGAAUGUCCAAUAGAUUCAGAGCUCAGAUGCAUCAUGGUACAAGAAUGAAAUUGCUACUGUGCUAUAUAGGGUGGUUUUUCUUUGUGUUUAUUGUAUCUAUAAAGCAUGACUGACAAUAACUGUACAAGCUCUACCAACAGCAGAAAUGCACGAUGGAGAUAUUCUGCACUUCAACUGGCAAUGUUGGACCACUGCAAACUAGUUACCUCUGCAUCCCAAUAGCAAAUAAGGGCUUGAUCCUGUCCUCAAAUGCAUGCAGAUAUGUACAGGAUCACAGUGUAGUCUGUAAGAUAGGUACACGUGAGUGCUGAAAAUUCUCUGGAACAAUUUUAAUAUACAUUGGACUUUGCAGAAUAAAGAACUUGUUGGAGAGAAGAGAUGCCAAAUUCAGCCCAUCAGCAUUAGGGGUUGUGACUCUAAUGCCACAGCUGAAUUUGGUCAGAAGUUUUUAGCAGUGAAAGUACUGUUGUAAUUAUUGUAUUCAAAAAUACUUUCCAAUUCAGCAAUUUUUUAAAGAAUACUUAAUAGUUAGAGCAGGCAACUGGGCACCAAACAUUCCUGGGCUCUAUGCCCAGCUCUUGCAGGGACUUGUUGAGCAAUUACUUAACUUGUUUGUGGCUCAGUUUUAUUUUUAGAAAACAGGAUAAGAAUAUUAAGUACUUCAUAGAGGUAGUGGAAGGUUUAUUUCACUGCAGCAUUGCCUAGUGGAGAGGACACUGGACCAAGACAUCUUGGUUCUAAUCUCACUUCUGCUGCUGAUUUAUUGUGUUACCUUGGGCAAGUCACAUCAUCUCUCUGUUUCCUCUCUCAUCCUUUCAUAGAUUCCAAGAGUAGAAGAGGCCAUUGGGAUCAUCUAGUCUGAUCUCCUGUGAAACACAGGCCACAGAACUCUACAUAAUUCUUUUUGAACUAGAGCAUUUUUACCAAAAUAUAUCCAAUCUUGGUUUAAAAAUUGCCAGUGAUGGAGAAUCCACCACAACCCUUUGUCUGCCUAGUCUAUGUUGAUUGUGAACUCUCCAGGACUGGACUAUCUCUCAUGAUAUAUUUGUGCAGAGCCCCAGUCUCAAUCCGUACCUCUAGGUGCUACUAUGACAUAAAUAAUAAUAGUAAGAUACUUUGGGAUCCUUGGAUGGAAGAUGCUACCAAUGGGCCUGAUUCAGCCACCAUUACUCCAUGAAUAGUCCCACUGGUAUAAGUCCAAAGCCAUAUAAAAACAGAAAGUAUUCUUGCCCGAACAUGGCUUUGUGCAGAAAUUCAUUUCUAAAUGUAGCUUAAGCUACUAGAAACAGAACACCCCACAGUCUGUAUAUUUUUCUCUCAGUAAUAGAGUUAACGGGCUUGUGGAAUGGACAAUAAAAUGUUUGUCUUUAUAUUCUCUAACCUUGUUGCUAAGAGCUAUAUACUAGUAACAAACUGUUCACAGAAACUUUAACAUUUUUUUC